GACGAACGCUGGCGGCGUGCUUAACACAUGCAAGUGGAGCGACGAACCAGGCUUCGGCCUGGGGCAGAGCCGCGAACGGGUGAGUAACACGUGGGUAACGUGCCCCAAUGAUCGGGACAACCCGGGGAAACCCGGGCUAAUACCGAAUGUGCUCCCCCCACACCAGUGGGGGGUGAAAAGGAAGCUUCGGCCUCCGCAUUGGGAUCGGCCCGCGGUCCAUUAGCUUGUUGGUGAGGUAACGGCUCACCAAGGCUGCGAUGGGUAGCUGGUCUGAGAGGACCGUCAGCCACACUGGGACGGAGACACGGCCCAGACUCCUACGGGAGGCAGCAGUGGGGAAUCUUGCGCAAUGCGCGAAAGCGUGACGCAGCAACGCCGCGUGGGGGAAGAAGGCCUUCGGGUUGUAAACCCCUUUCAGGAGGGACGAAGCCCGGGCGGUUAAUAGCCGACCCGGGUGACGGUACCUCCAGAAGAAGCCCCGGCUAACUACGUGCCAGCCGCCGCAGUAAGAC
rnacentral:rRNA from 1 species